GAUGAAGAACGCAGCGAAAUGCGAUACUUGGUGUGAAUUGCAGAAUCCCGUGAACCAUCGAGUCUUUGAACGCAAGUUGCGCCCGAAGCCACUAGGCCGAGGGCACGCCUGCCUGGGCGUCACACGCCGUUGCCCCCCCAUCUACUCCUUCGGGAUUGCGGGGGGCGGAUGAUGGCCUCCCGUGCGCCUAGCCGCGCGGUUGGCAUAAAUACCAAGUCCUCGGCGACGCACGCCACGACAAUCGGUGGUUGCGAAACCUCGGUUGCCCGUCGUGUGCGUUCGUCGCGCAUCGAGGGCUCGAAAAAAUGCUCGGCUCCGGCUGGGCUUUCAACGCGACCCCAGGUCAGGCGGGGUUACCCGCUGAAUUUAAGCAUAUCAAUAAGCGGAGGA
rnacentral:misc_RNA from 1 species